rnacentral:rRNA from 1 species
UACAGAGGGGGCAAGCGUUGUUCGGAAUUACUGGGCGUAAAGGGCGCGUAGGCGGCCUGUUAAGUCGAACGUGAAAUCCCCGGGCUCAACCCGGGAACUGCGUCCGAUACUGGGUGUCUUGAGUAUGGAAGAGGUAAGUGGAAUUGCGAGUGUAGAGGUGAAAUUCGUAGAUAUUCGCAGGAACACCAGUGGCGAAGGCGGCUUACUGGUCCAUUACUGACGCUGAGGUGCGAAAGCGUGGGGAGCAAACAGG